GAAGCCAUAUUAAGAUCCGAAUUAGCUUCCGAAUCUCCGGUAGACUCAAAGAGCAAGAAAGGAGAAACAUCAACCACAUUAUUCCAGUUCCAAUUACAAUUCCAAUUCCAAUUCCUCCCAUCCAUCUUUCUCUAACCACUCCACUUUUUCUGUUUUACACAAAAAAAAGAGAGAAGAAACUAUUAGACUUCUAUCAUAAUGUGAAGUUAAAAUGAAACCUUUGAAUGCAUAUAUAUAUAUAUAUAUAUAUAUAUAUAUAUAUAUAUAUAUAUAUAUAUAUAUAAAAGUACUAUAUAUGUAUGACUAGCUAGUCCUAUUAUAGUAUAUAUUAAAGAUAAAGAUUAAGAAGGAAAUUAAGAGGUAAAAGGGUUGUUUCAAACUUGAAAAUUGUGUGGCCUGGCCUACCUUUUUUUAAUUAUCCUUUGAAACUUCGAGGAGGAAUUUGAGUUUGAGACUACUGACUUGGUUUAAAG
rnacentral:lncRNA from 1 species